AGUGAACGCUGGCGGUAGGCCCAACACAUGCAAGUCGAACGGCAGCACAGUAAGAGCUUGCUCUUACGGGUGGCGAGUGGCGGACGGGUGAGGAAUACAUCGGAAUCUACUUUUUCGUGGGGGAUAACGUAGGGAAACUUACGCUAAUACCGCAUACGACCUACGGGUGAAAGCAGGGGAUCUUCGGACCUUGCGCGAUUGAAUGAGCCGAUGUCGGAUUAGCUAGUUGGCGGGGUAAAGGCCCACCAAGGCGACGAUCCGUAGCUGGUCUGAGAGGAUGAUCAGCCACACUGGAACUGAGACACGGUCCAGACUCCUGCGGGAGGCAGCAGUGGGGAAUAUUGGACAAUGGGCGCAAGCCUGAUCCAGCCAUACCGCGUGGGUGAAGAAGGCCUUCGGGUUGUAAAGCCCUUUUGUUGGGAAAGAAAAGCAGCAGGUUAAUACCCCGCUGUUCUGACGGUACCCAAAGAAUAAGCACCGGCUAACUUCGUG
rnacentral:rRNA from 1 species